GGUGAAGAAAGUGUCGUCCCCAUAGAGGUACUAUGAAAUUGGAUGCAUAUAAGCCACUCAAAGCUCAUGUGUCAUUAUUCCUUGACGAUGAAUUAAGACGCUUCAAAGAAGGAAGCAUCUUAUUCAAUAGAAGCAAUUGCGAAGAUGUUGAAGCUAUGAUAGAGCUUCUUGAGGCUUCACAUCUGGCUUUGGAAGGCGAAAACAUUUUGCAUGAAGCGAAAGCCUUCUCAACUGGGAUUCUCCGCGAGAGAGUCUCCAGUUUGGAUGGUCGGCUCUUCAAAUGCACCGUCCAUGCUUUGGAGAUUCCGUUGCAUUGGAGGGUCCAGUGGUUCGACAUCAAAUGGCAAAUAAGCUUGUACGAGCAACGGGAGGACAAGCAAAGCAAUCUGCUUUAGCUUGCCAAGCUCAAUUUCAACACGGUCCAGGCCACACACCAAAGAGAUCUUAGAGAGAUAUCCAGGUGGUGGAGGGAUCUGGGACUCAUGGAGCACGUGGACUUCACGAGGGAUCGGCUGGUCGAGAGUUUCUUGUGUGCCCUUGGACUCUCUCAG